GAGCGAACGGGGAGCAGCCCAGAGCCUGAAUCAGUGUGUGUGUUAGUGGAAGCGUCUGGAAAGGCGCGCGAUACAGGGUGACAGCCCCGUACACAAAAAUGCACAUGCUGUGAGCUCGAUGAGUAGGGCGGGACACGUGGUAUCCUGUCUGAAUAUGGGGGGACCAUCCUCCAAGGCUAAAUACUCCUGACUGACCGAUAGUGAACCAGUACCGUGAGGGAAAGGCGAAAAGAACCCCGGCGAGGGGAGUGAAAAAGAACCUGAAACCGUGUACGUACAAGCAGUGGGAGCACAGAGCAAUCUGUGUGACUGCGUACCUUUUGUAUAAUGGGUCAGCGACUUAUAUUCUGUAGCAAGGUUAACCGAAUAGGGGAGCCGAAGGGAAACCGAGUCUUAACUGGGCGUUAAGUUGCAGGGUAUAGACCCGAAACCCGGUGAUCUAGCCAUGGGCAGGUUGAAGGUUGGGUAACACUAACUGGAGGACCGAACCGACUAAUGUUGAAAAAUUAGCGGAUGACUUGUGGCUGGGGGUGAAAGGCCAAUCAAACCGGGAGAUAGCUGGUUCUCCCCGAAAGCUAUUUAGGUAGCGCCUCGUGAAUUCAUCUCCGGGGGUAGAGCACUGUUUCGGCAAGGGGGUCAUCCCGA
rnacentral:rRNA from 1 species